rnacentral:lncRNA from 1 species
UCAGUAGUAGCCUAUCAUAAGAUCUUGUGGGAUAAGGCCCUGCCAUCUAGGUGAUUUCUAUAGAUGCCUUCAUAUACUUCCCAAAGUAUGUAUUCUACUUUAGAGGGAUGGAGGCAUCGAAAGAGAUCUUUUGUAAAACUUCCCCUUGAGUAGAACAUAGUGCGUUUCUUCAAGGUUUGUUCUUAUCCUCAAGAAGCUUUUUCUUUUGUAGGUGGUCGACUAGCGGGUCUAUCCAGCAAGGCUUGAAGCCGAUUUGCAAAAUUGGGGUCGAAAAUAUUUUACAAUCAUAUGCUUACUCCUAAAUUU